rnacentral:rRNA from 2 species
UACGAAGGGUGCAAGCGUUACUCGGAAUUACUGGGCGUAAAGCGUGCGUAGGUGGUGGUUUAAGUCUGCUGUGAAAGCCCUGGGCUCAACCUGGGAAUUGCAGUGGAUACUGGGUCACUAGAGUGUGGUAGAGGGAUGCGGAAUUUCCGGUGUAGCAGUGAAAUGCGUAGAGAUCGGAAGGAACAUCCGUGGCGAAGGCGGCAUCCUGGGCCAACACUGACACUGAGGCACGAAAGCGUGGGGAGCAAACAGG